AGAUUGAACGCUGGCGGCAUGCCUAACACAUGCAAGUCGAACGGCAGCACAGCAGAGCUUGCUCUGUGGGUGGCGAGUGGCGGACGGGUGAGUAAUGCAUCGGGACCUACCUGAACGUGGGGGAUAACCUCGGGAAACCGGGACUAAUACCGCAUACGUCCUACGGGAGAAAGCGGGGGACCUUCGGGCCUCGCGCGGUCAGACGGACCGAUGUGCGAUUAGCUAGUUGGUAAGGUAAUGGCUUACCAAGGCGACGAUCGCUAGCUGGUCUGAGAGGACGAUCAGCCACACUGGGAUUGAGAACGGCCCAGACUCCUACGGGGGGCAGCAGUGAGGAUUUAAACGUCAAUGGGGGCAACCCUGAACGAGCAACGCCGCGUGCAGGAAGAAGGUUUUCGGAUCGUAAACUGCUUUUCGUCGGGGAAGAGGAACGGACGGUACCCGAGGAAUCAGCCCCGGCUAACUACGUGCCAGCAGCCGC
rnacentral:rRNA from 1 species